rnacentral:misc_RNA from 1 species
UAAGCCCAGCUCCGAAUUCUGUUCAUGUGUUUGAGCAAGAACAUGUGGUGUUAAGGCUUCAGCCUGGACGUGCCAUGCUGUCUCAAGUCCAACUUCGAUUUUGGCCUUGUAUUUGUUCCAUGGAGGGUGAAAGACCCGUCGAGACAGCCCUACAUAUUUCUGGCACUUCCCAGAUGCUGUGGUCAUCGAGUCGGAUUGCUUGAGAGUGCAGUCCAAAGUGGGUGGUAAACUCCAUCCAAGGCUAAAUACUGGCAUGAGUCCGAUAGUAAACAAGUACCGUGAGGGAAAGUUGAAAAGUACUCUGAAGAGAGAGUAAACAGUACGUGAAUCUGUCUGCAUGGAAGCUGGUGGAGUCAAGCUUUCAAGCCUGAGUAUUGGCACGGAGAGUGUUUUGUUGUUGAGGGUUGUGAAGUGGUCGGCUUGUAAAUGGUCGAAUAGCUCAUGCUAUCUCACGUGCUCCUGGUCGAGUGUACUUGAACUGCUUCAUUGAUAAUUGGCCCCUUCUCUUGCGUUAUUUCUCAGGCUUCAUUUCACGGUGGAUGCUUGUGUGGCUUGUGUCAUUCAGACCGCGUUGCAGCUUGCUUCAGUUAGUUGCGCGUGGAAUGGCAGCUGCUAGUCUGAUUAGUUUAGGCUAACUGACUGGUUGAUUUUGCCGAGUGACUACGAGUCUUUGCAGGCAUUUUGUCCAUGUAGACU